rnacentral:rRNA from 1 species
GAGGGACCACCCUCCAAGGCUAAAUACUACCUAGUGACCGAUAGCGUAUAGUACCGUGAGGGAAAGGUGAAAAGAACCCCGGGAGGGGAGUGAAAUAGAACCUGAAACCCUGCACUUACAAGCUGUGGAAGCACAUUUCUUGUGUGACCGCGUACUUUUUGUAGAACGGGCCAACGAGUUACGUUAAGUAGCAAGGUUAAGCACUUAAGGUGUGGAGCCGUAGCGAAAGCGAGUUUUAACUGAGCGUUCAGUUACUUGACGUAGACCCGAAACCGGGCGACCUACCCAUGAGCAGGAUGAAGCGAAAGUAAAAUUUCGUGGAGGUCCGAACCCACGAGCGUUGAAAAGCUCGGGGAUGACUUGUGGGUAGCGGUGAAAUUCCAAUCGAGCCCGGAGAUAGCUGGUUCUCCCCGAAAUAGCUUUAGGGCUAGCCUCAAGGUGAGAGAUACGGAGGUAGAGCACUGAAUGUCCUAGGGGGUAUUGCACCUACCGAAGACUAUCAAACUCCGAAUGCCGUCAUCUUAUACUUGGGAGUCAGACUGUGGGUGAUAAGAUUCAUAGUCGAAAGGGCAACAGCCCAGAUCGUCAGCUAAGGUCCCUAAAUGUAAGUUAAGUGGUAAAGGAUGUGGGAUUGCACAGACAACCAGGAUGUUGGCUUAGAAGCAGCCACUCAUUCAAAGAGUGCGUAAUAGCUCACUGGUCGAGUGAUCCUGCGCCGAAGAUUUCCGGGGCUAAAACUUACUACCGAAGCUACGGCAUCAGUAAUGAUGGGUAGGGGAGCUUCCCAUACGGGUUGAAGCAUGACCGUAAGGACAUGUGGACAGUAUGGGAGUGAGAAUGUUGGCAUGAGUAGCGAGAUGUGGGUGAGAAUCCCACAGGCCGUAAACCCAAGGUUUCCAGGGGAAGGUUCGUCCGCCCUGGGUUAGUCGGGACCUAAGCUGAGGCCGAAAGGCGUAGGUGAUGGACAACAGGUUGAUAUUCCUGUACUACCGAUAACCGUUUGAGAGAAGGGAUGACACAGUAGGAUAAGCUAAGCACACUGUUGGUUAUGUGUGCCCAAGCAUUGAGGCAGUCAAAGUAGGCAAAUCCGCUUUGAUAAUGCUGGGAUGUGAUGGGGAGCGAAAUUUAGUAGCGAAGUAGCUGAUUUCACACUGUCAAGAAAAGUCUCUAUCGAGGUUAAAGGUACCCGUACCGCAAACCGACACAGGUGGGUGAGGAGAGUAUCCUAAGGCCAGCGAGAGAACUGUUGUUAAGGAACUCGGCAAAAUGACCCCGUAACUUAGGGAUAAGGGGUGCCACCAUCAGGUGGCCGCAGAGAAUAGGCCCAAGCGACUGUUUACCAAAAACAUAGGUUUCUGCUAAGUCGCAAGACGAUGUAUAGGAGCUGACGCCUGCCCGGUGCUGGAAGGUUAAGGGGAUCUGUUAGAGCAAUCGAAGCAGUGAACUUAAGCCCCAGUAAACGGCGGCCGUAACUAUAACGGUCCUAAGGUAGCGAAAUUCCUUGUCGGGUAAGUUCCGACCCGCACGAAAGGCGUAACGAUUUGGGCACUGUCUCAACAACAGACUCGGUGAAAUUGUAAUUCCGGUGAAGAUGCCGGAUACCUGCGACAGGACGGAAAGACCCCAUGGAGCUUUACUGUAGCUUGACAUUGGGUCUUGGUACUACAUGUACAGGAUAGGUGGGAGGCUUUGAAACCAGGACGCCAGUUUUGGCGGAGCCAUCCUUGGGAUACCACCCUUGUAGUACUGGGACUCUAACCAUAGGCCAUGAAUCUGGUCUUGGGACACUGUCAGGUGGGCAGUUUGACUGGGGCGGUCGCCUCCCAAAAGGUAACGGAGGCGCUCAAAGGUUCUCUCAGUACGGUCGGAAAUCGUACGUAGAGUGUAAAGGCAAAAGAGAGCUUGAUUGCAAGACAUACAGGUCGAGCAAGGAUGAAAAUCGGACUUAGUGAUCCGGUGGUUCUGCGUGGAAGGGCCAUCGCUCAACGGAUAAAAGCUACCCUGGGGAUAACAGGCUUAUCUCCCCCAAGAGUCCACAUCGACGGGGAGGUUUGGCACCUCGAUGUCGGCUCAUCACAUCCUGGGGCUGUAGUAGGUCCCAAGGGUUGGGCUGUUCGCCCAUUAAAGUGGUACGCGAGCUGGGUUCAGAACGUCGUGAGACAGUUCGGUCCCUAUCCGUCGCAGGCGUAGGAAAUUUGAGAAGACCUGUCCUUAGUACGAGAGGACCGGGAUGGACGUACCUCUGGUGUACCAGUUGUUCUGCCAAGGGCAUGGCUGGGUAGCUAUGUACGGAAUGGAUAAGCGCUGAAAGCAUCUAAGCGCGAAGCCAACUUCAAGAUAAGAUUUCCCACCGCAAGGGUAAGACCCCAGAAAGACUAUCUGGUUGA